rnacentral:rRNA from 1 species
UACGGCCAUAUUACAUUGAAACACCAGUUCCCAUACACUCACUGAAGUUAAGCUAUGUCAAGCCUGGUCAUUACCUAGAUGAGUGACCACUUGAGAAUACCAGGUUCUGUA